rnacentral:tRNA from 1 species
UGGGGGUGGGGGGACUUGAACCCUCACGACCUUUUACGGUCAACGGAUUUUCAAAGUCCGUAGCGUCUACCAAUUUCACCACAUC